UGCAUUAUUUCCAUCCAUCCAAUACCAUGGUAUUUGCAGGUCAACAGCAAUAAUUGAGGCUUGUUCAUACUUCAAUAUAUUGGCCUUCUUCUUCACAAUUCCAACCAGUUGUACACAUACGCACUUUACAAAGCAGCAAAAACAGCAAGCAUUAGCACAGGCGCAUAUAGUAGAAGAGGUCUCUGUAAAAGCUAGAAUAUUGAAAGAUGGAGCUUGUAUCUGCAAUCAUUAGUCCUAUUGUUGAAUCUUUAAUUGCUCCUGUCAAGAAACAACUGGGAUAUCUCUUUUCAUCCACGAAUCAUGUUAGGAACAUGAAUACUAAAAUAAAGCUACUGGAUGAUACAAGCCGUGAUGUCAAAAAACACAUGGAAACAAACAAUAGAAGUAAUCUGGAGAUACCUACUCAUGUAACGGGGUGGUUGGAAGAAGUUGAAAAGACUAAAGAAAAAGCUCAAAGCAUUCCAAGUAUUGGGAGCGGAUGUUGUAACUUGAAAAUGAGGUAUCUAGUUGGAAAGAAGGCAUUCAAGACUACGGAGGAGAUGGAAAGUCUUAUUGAUGAAAAUAGUAAGAUAAUUUGGACAAAUGCUCAAAGACCUCUUGGGAAAGUGAACUCAGAAAUCGCAUCCAGUUCUGCACCUUCGGAUGGUGAUGCCCAAAAUCACUUCAAAUCAAGAGAGAAGUCUUUUAAGAACGCCUUGGAGUCCCUCCAACAAGAUCACAAGAGCAAAGUGAUAGCCCUAUGUGGAAUGGGUGGUGUGGGGAAAACCACCAUGAUGGAGCAACUGAAAAAGGCUGCAGAAGAUAAGAAAAUGUUUGAUUAUGUUGUGAAGGUGGUUAUUGGGCAACAAAUUAACAUGCUUUCUAUUCAGCAAGAUGUGGCAGUGUAUAUGAUGGGCCAGUCCCUCAUUGAACUGAGUAAAGAAGCUAGAGCAGAUCGUCUUCGUAUAACAUUUGGAAACCUUCUAGAAGGUAGAAGAAAGGUUUUACUAAUACUAGAUGAUGUAUGGGAAACGAUUGACCUCAAAGAUAUUGGAUUGAGUCCUUUGCCCAACGGCUUCAAGUUGUUGCUGACAUCACGAAAUGAAAAUAUUUGCAAACAAAUUGCAGUAGAAGCCAAUUCGGAGUCAACACUAGUUCGAGUGGAUGUGAUGGAAGAGCCUGAAGCAUGUAGUUUCUUUUGGCAAAUUAUAGGUGUUUCAAAACAAUAUGAUAAGGAUCUCAAACAAAUAGGAAGUGAGAUCGUGAGAAGAUGUGGUUUUUUGCCCCUUGCCAUUAAACUCAUCGCCAAAACCCUUCAAUUUCAAGAAGUUUUUGUAUGGAGAGAUACUUUUCAACGGUUGAAGAAGAAGAAUCUUGAUGAGAAUGUGCAAGAAGUUAUUAAGAUAAGCUAUGAUUAUAUAAAAACAGAGGAGGAAAAGGUGAUUUUUCUUCUGUGUGGCUUGUUUCCUGAUGACUUUAAUAUCCCAAUUGAGGAACUCACAAGAUAUGCAUGGGGCCUACAGUUAUUAAGUGAAGUAUCCACUUUGGGAGAGGCUAGAGACAGGACAAAAAUGUGUGUGCAGAAUCUUAGAAAUGCAAAUUUGUUGAUGGAUAGCGAUUGCAUUGGGUGUGUCAAAAUGCAUGAUCUUGUGCUUGCUUUUGUCAUAAAUACAGUUUCUAAAGGUCAUCAUCCAUGGAUAAUCAACCAUGGUGAUAUUUCAAAGUGGAGUAGAGCUGAAGUGAGAGAGUCUUGCAAAAGACUUUCUAUUACUUGCACAGGAAUGUCUGAGUUUCCUGGUGACUCUAAGUACCCAAACCUAUCACUUUUGAGACUUAUGGAUGGAGAUAAGUCACUUAAGUUUCCUGAAGGUUUUUAUGAAAAAAUGGAAAAUCUUGAAGUUGUAGCAUAUGAAAAAAUGCAGUAUCCGUUGCUUCCCAGAUCACUUGAAUGCUCCACCAAGCUCCAAACACUCAUUCUCCAUCAAUGCCUAUUGAUGUUUGAUUUCUCUGUUAUUGGUGAACUCAUGAAUCUGGAAGUGCUCAGUUUUGCUCAUUGUGGCAUCAGAAAGUUACCAUCCACAAUUGGAAAUUUGAAGAAGCUAAAGCUAUUGGAUUUGACGGGGUGUGUAAAUCUUCGUAUUGAUGAUGGUGUAUUGUUAAAUUUGGUCAAGCUUGAAGAGCUUUAUAUGAGAGUUGAUGAUAGAAAGGCAAUUAGGUUCACAGACAGCAAUCGUGUUGAAUUAGCAGAGCUUUCAAAUCAUCUUUCUGCAUUAGAAGUUGAGUUCUUUGACAACAAUGGUACGCCCAAGAAUAUGCUGUUUACUGAACUUAAAAGGUUUAGAAUCUCUAUGGGAUGUGGUUUAGGAGACAAUACUCACAAAAAUAUGCACUCAUUUGAAAACACAUUGAGGUUGGUCACUAACAAAGAUGAGCUGUUGGAAUCUACAAUGAAUGAGUUGUUUGAGAAAACCGAGGUGCUUUAUUUGGAGGUGGAUGGUAUGAACGAUCUUGAAGAAGUUUUAAUGGAAUCAGUUCAUCUCCCUCAGCAAGCGUUUAAUAAUCUAAGAGUCCUUGAUGUGUUCAAGUGUGAAAACUUGAGGUACCUCUUCACAGUCCCUAUUGCAAAUGGUUUGGUGAAGCUUGAGCGCCUCACAGUUUCAGAGUGCUCUGUUCUUGAAGUACUUGCACAUGGUGAAAAUGGUGGAGCUGAGAAAAUUAAGUUUCAGGGGCUAAAGUUUCUAGGAUUGGAUAGGCUACCAAAGCUGAUAGGUCUUUGCAACACUGCUAAUGUAAUUGAGCUACCACAGCUGGUGGAGUUGGAACUUGAUGGCCUUCCUAACUUCAAUAGCAUUUAUCCAAAGAAAACAUCUGCAACAUCUUCUAUGUCCAGUAAUGACUCUGCAAUUCAACCAUUAUUUAACAAACAGGUGCUGAUUCCUAAGUUGGAGAAAUUGAGGAUUUGGAGGAUGGAUAAGCUGAAAGAGAUAUGGCCUUAUCAAGUUAUAAGUAGCAAAGACGUUGAUGCCUGCGUGUUGAGAAAGAUUGAAGUGAGGGGAUGUGAUAAUCUUGUGAAUCUGUUUCCAACCAAUCCCAUGUCUUUGCUGGGUUGUCUGGAAGUGCUUGAUGUUUCUAAUUGUGGAAACAUUGAAGUGUUAUUUAACAUCGACAUGAGUUGUGUUGGUGAAAUUGAAGAACACAGUAGCAACUUGAGACAAAUUGAAGUAUCUAAUUUGGAGAAGCUAAGAGAGUUGUGGAGGAUGAAAGGUGAAAGUAGCUCUGAUAUCCUCAUCCGUACCUUUCAAGCUGUUGAAAGUAUAGAAAUAGAAGAGUGCAAGAGGUUUGUAAACGUAUUCACACCGACCGUCACCAAUUCUGAUGUGAAAACAGUUAUGAAUGUGAGUAUAGAUGGAAGGAGACCUUCUGAAGAAACCAGGAGCAACAUUGAAUUGGUUCAGAACAGCCAGGAGAUUAAUGUAAUAUCCAAGGAAGAGAUCAUUUCAGAGGUGGAUGGUAAUAUUCCUGACGUUGAAUCCUCAAUUCAUCCCAAACCUUUUAACGUUAAUCACCUUCAAGUACUUGGCUGUAAGGAUGUUGAAGUGGUGUUUGAGAUAGAGAGUUCCAGUAACAGCAACAGCACCACAGAUUUCACAACAAGUCUGCAUAAAUAUAAUCAUCAACCACCACCACUACUACUUCCCCACCUCAAGUCUUUAUAUUUAAUAAAUAUGGAGAGGAUGAGUGAUGUGUGGAAGUGCAAUUGGAAGAAACUUGUAAUUCAUCAAAACCAAUCACAAUCCUACUCAUUCCACAACCUCACAAUCAUACACAUGGAAAAGUGUCAUACCAUAAAGUACUUAUUUUCACCUGUCAUGGGCAAACUUCUUCCCAACUUAAAGGAUGUCUGGAUACAUGAGUGUGAUGGUAUUGAAGAAGUUGUUUCAAAUAGAGAUAUUAAUGAUGAAAAUGAAGAAAUAAUAUCUUCUACUCACACAAACACCAUCUCCUCCUUCCCUCUUCUUGAUUCUCUCUACCUUUUUAAUCUGCCAAGCCUAAAGAGUAUCGAUGGCGGUACUACAAUCACAACUACUUCCAUCCAUGAUCAGUUCCAGUGUUCUCAAGUCGGUGUUGCUUCUUGGUUCUUAUGCCAAUACUCCAAACACAUACAUAUAUGGAAUUGUCCUGCCCUAUCAAGAGUGUUUCCAUCCAAUGUAGUGGGACAACUGAAUAAGCUUGAAGUGUUGAGCAUAUCAGAUUGCAAGUCAAUGGUGGAGAUAUUUGAAAGUAAAGAAAUAAACAAAGAUGGUGUUGAUAGUACUACGAAUGUUGGUGAUGGAAGUGAUGAUACUUGUACUGCAAUCACCAUCCCAAGGUCGGCUAAUAUGACUCUGCUUCAAUUGUCCAACCUAACGAUAUUGAGAAUCUAUGACUGUGAAGUAUUGGAAUAUAUAUUCACAAGUUCCACACUUGAAAGCCUCAAGCAACUCAAAGAACUGAUGGUAGUUAAAUGCAAGGCAAUGAAAGUGAUUGUGAAGGAAGACGGAGAUUUACCAGAACUCAAGGGUUUCUUCCGUCGUCUCAAGUCCCUUACACUUGUAGAUUUACCAGAUCUGAAGGGUUUCUUCUUGGGGAAGAAUGAGUUCAGGUGGAAAGCAUUGGAAAAGGUUAAGAUUUAUGGCUGCCCACAAAUGAUGAAUUUCACAUCUGGUCACUCCAUGACUCCGAAGCUCAACUACAUACAUACAGCCUACGGCAAGCAUAGUCUUGAAUGUGGCCUCAACUUCCAUUUGACCAAUGCUACACAAGAGCAGACUCAACUUCCUAUGUGCUCUAUUCCAGAUAUGAUAAUGCUAGUUCAGUUCCCAUGGUCUUUUUCAAAUUUAGUUGAAGUAGAUGCACAAGGGAGUGACAAAUUGUUGAAAAGCCACAUAAUUUUUCCAUGCAAGGAGUUGCUGAAUUUGAAGAAUCUUGAAAAGCUUUCUAUUAUUACCAGCAAGUAUGGUGAAUCUAAAAUAGAGGAGGUAUUUGAAGUAGCAGAAGGGACAAAUGAAGAUGUGGAUAUUGAAACACAAUCUGUUGUGGUAUUUGAGAAGCUGAAAGAGGUGACUUUGGGUAGAUUAAAUAAUCUGAAGCAUAUGUGGAAGAGCAAUCGGUGGAUAGUGUUGAACUUUCCAAACCUUACAAAGGUCUCAAUUGAAAGUUGUAAGCUUCUUGGACACGUUUUCAGUAGUUGCAUGGUUGGCAGUCUAUUGCAGCUCCAAGAGCUACAAAUAAGUAACUGCGAGAGUAUGGAUGUGAUUGUGAAGCAAGUUGAAGAUUCCAAAACCAGACCGACUACAAAGGUUGUGUUCCCUUGUCUAAAAUCCAUAACACUUGAAAUGCUUCCAAAUCUCAAGGGAUUUUGCCUGGGGAAGGAGGCUUUUGAAUGGCCAAUAUUAGAUACUUUGGAAAUCAAAGAUUGUCCAAAAAUAACAGUUUUCACAAAUGGGCAAUCAACUACUCCAAAGCUAAAACUAAUAGAUACAACUUUUGGAUUGUGUCAUGCAACGGAAGACCCAAACUCUUUCAUAAAGACCAAACAAGAAGAGGGAUGGGAGUUCUAGAGCAACAUCAAAUUCACACGUGCGGUUUGGUUCGUUUUGAAGUUAGCUAUAUAGCACAGUGCAGGUUUCCAUCGCCACCUUCAAUGAAUCUGUCUCAUGAUGAUUUUGAGUUAACAAUUGUUCACUAAACCUAGAUAAGUUACAAUUAUGCCCAUGACUAUGAGCCAUCCAUUGAUUAUUUUAAACCUAUUUGAGAAACAGAACACUUAUGCAUAUUAUCUGAUUUUUGAUGCAUCUGAGGUUUAACAUUUUUUUUAUAAUCAAAUUUAGUUUGAUAUUGGAGUUGUCAUUAUUUAUAAUCACGCUCAGAUUUUGAAAAUGCCACUUAUGUAGAAAUUAUUUGAUGAAAAAAACAUUAUAUUUUCAUUCAUUGUUUAAUUUGUCACUUUGUGCAUGUUUUUGUCGACAUACGGUUGUACCAUAUGAUGACAUGAAAAUUUUUAUGUGGUGGCUGGUUUAGUUGGAUUAAAAGACGUUACCUGUCAAGUUGAUUUUAUGCAGUGGCGGGCUUAGUUAGAAAUAUUUGAUGAAAAAACAUUACAUUUCCAUUUCUUCACAAUCUUCAAACCUUUGGUCAUUUAUUUAAAGUUGCGUAAUGAUCAAUGUUGCAUACUUUAUGUCAGUUGCAUAAAUUUGUAAUGAAAGUGAAACACUGUUGCAGAAUUUGUCUAAAAAAAAUAAAAAAAAUUGGUGCAUAAACUGGUCCUAGAAUGAAACAUAGUUGAAUAAUGAAUAUUAUGUCUAAAAAAAUAUUUUGUUGCAUAAAUUGACUAACAUGUGCAAUCAAUGUCCGUGGCUUAAACAUGUUAAAUCAUAUGGUUAAAAAUGUAAUUCACUCACUUUUCUUAGAAGCAUAUGGUUCCGAAUACAAAUAGAAUCCUAAUAGAUAGAUGAAAAUAAAAUCAUAUUCCUAACCAUCAAACGGCUCCUAGGUGAUUACUUCUUCCCUUUGCUCGACUCAAACGGCUCUAGCUUCGGCCGCAAAGAGUUGACGUUUGAGAUUGGCUAUUUCUUUCUCAAGAGAGUGUAUGUAGUCUGUAUCACUUUCCUUAAUAGUGUGUGAGUCUGAUAGGGCUUCCGAUGGGUGGGGCUUACUAGGUGUAUCCUUAACGUCCUUUCCUUCAUCUGACUCCUGGUCAGAUUCAUCAUAUUCGUAAUCAGUUACCACGUACUCUUCCGGUUCCACUCCGGGUCCCACCUCCCAUUGUAGGGCCUCCUUCAGGCUUUUCUUCAGGAUUGUCAUCUAGACCCACCUCAAUCUCCCUAUA